AGUGAACGCUGGCGGUAGGCCUAACACAUGCAAGUCGAACGGCAGCACAGUAAGAGCUUGCUCUUACGGGUGGCGAGUGGCGGACGGGUGAGGAAUACAUCGGAAUCUACUUUUUCGUGGGGGAUAACGUAGGGAAACUUACGCUAAUACCGCAUACGACCUACGGGUGAAAGCAGGGGAUCUUCGGACCUUGCGCGAAUGAAUGAGCCGAUGUCGGAUUAGCUAGUUGGCGGGGUAAAGGCCCACCAAGGCGGCGAUCCGUAGCUGGUCUGAGAGGAUGAUCGGCCACACUGGAACUGAGACACGGUCCAGACUCCUACGGGAGGCAGCAGUGGGGAAUAUUGGACAAUGGGCGCAAGCCUGAUCCAGCCAUACCGCGUGGGUGAAGAAGGCCUUCGGGUUGUAAAGCCCUUUUGUUGGGAAAGAAAAGCAGCAGGUUAAUACCCCGCUGUUCUGACGGUACCCAAAGAAUAAGCACCGGCUAACUUCGUG
rnacentral:rRNA from 1 species